rnacentral:rRNA from 1 species
AAAGCGAGUGGCGAACGGGUGAGUAAUGUAUGAGUAACCUGCCUCUGUCUACGGGAUAACAUUUGGAAACAAGUGCUAAUACGGUAUAAGACCACAGCACCGCAUGGUGCAGGGGUAAAAGAUUUAUCGGACAGAGAUGGACUCAUAUCCCAUUAGCUAGUUGGUGAGAUAAUAGCCCACCAAGGCGACGAUGGGUAGCCGAGCUGAGAGGCUGAUCGGCCACAUUGGAACUGAAACACGGUCCAGACUCC